CCUACUUUUCUAUGAUUGUAUGAUAUCGUGUACCUGAUCUUUGUUGGCCGAGCUGUUAGUGCUUUGAGUCUGGAUGUCUGUGAGCCAGGAGACAUGAGAGUGUCCAGCACAAUGGGAAGUGUGGACCCUGUCCAAUUGUUAGGGUACUUGCUGGUGCAGGUGGGUUUAUUGUGCAGGUGUUGGCCCUAUGUAGUCUGGCCCCUCCCUGCGAAACGUGUUUUGUCCCGUCUACGCUGCACACACUUCCCACACCACAGAGCAGGCAUCAGCUCUGAGACAUUUAACAUUUUGCAAUAUUUAGUGCAGAAUAUAAAAUAGUGAUGCAUAAGCUUCUCAGUUUGGCCUUGGGCUGGGGUUUUGCCAUUCCAAAAAAAACCUCUCCAUUGCCUGCAAUAGCGUGUAGGAUGGGUGUUGUUUCAAAGACGUCUACAGCUAGAUCUCAGCUCUUGUAACUUCUGGGAGAGUGAGAUCCUGAUCUGAACUUCAGGGCUGGCUCUGAACAAAUUAAGGACUUGAUCCAAAGGUUGUAGAGGUGAACAAAUCUUUCUGUUGGCUGCUGUGACCUGUAAGUCUCUGUAUGGGGAUGCCAUUCAAGGUUUUGAAGAAGUUCAGCUCAAAGGCAUUGUCUAUGGGAAAAUGAUCCAGAGGAAGUCAGUCAGCUGAGUCUUGUCUAUGGGGAACUGAUCCGGAGGAAGUCAGUUAGCUGAGUUUCAUUCGUCUUUUUUGCUAGUUGCAAAGCUGGCAUUAUACAGAUAAAACCCAUUGAUUUUUAAGAGAAACACUCACUCUACUUAAUCAGGCCCUAACUUAUGAUGUGCUAGUAAAAUGUAUUAAAGAAUCCACAUGCCCUUUCUCCCAAAACAGAACAAAGAGAGGUGGGUUCGGAUCCCAUGGGUUGAGAAGUGAGACUCCUGCAGGCAUGAUAAUAAUGGGUAUGCCCUUAUUUUAAUACCUUUGCUCAACUGUUGCAUCUCUGCUUGGACACUGCAUUUGGACUGCUUUUAACAGGUUCCCAUAUCCAGGUCUGUGCAUUUACUUUUAUCUGUGCACAAACAGAAGCAACCAGAAUGCGCAUGCAUCUAAACCAAAAUGUUGAGAGUCCCACUAGGAAAAUAUCUUGACAUGUUCUCUGUGGAUUUGCCUGGGAGAGUUAAGUGUUCCUAAUAGCUUUUCAUCUCACAGAAAGCACUUCAAGAUCCUAGCUUGCAGAGCUCAUCUUACCCAUUCCUAGUUGUCUCUCCAAGGAGCACCCUUCUCUCUUUGCUUGCAGCAGCUAGCUAGGUGCAUGGUAAGCCCUCCUCUAGCACGGAGUCAGGAGAUGAUGUGUUUCUUGGCCCGCAUUUCUCUGGCUUCAUACCUGGCCAGGGUGGAAGAAGGGUCGAGUCAUGCUCAUAGUAGUUGCUAUUGUUCUUUUGCACAAUCACAGUCUUGUGGGGAGAGCCCAGGACUGAGAGUCAGGAGAUCUGAUAGGGUUUCUGGCCAUGGAGAAGUCACUUUGUUUUGCUGUGCCUCGUUUUACCUCUUGGUGAAAUGGGAACAGUAAUUUUCUUGCAGGAGCACUGCUGCUUAACUCAGCAUGCAGACGCUUGCUAGGAUCGUCAAAAAAUGACAGGGCUGUUCUUAUCAGGAGCCAAGCACUGGCUUUACAUAGCACAUAUAUGCAUACA